rnacentral:sRNA from 1 species
CUUCGCCCGCAUCGUGGAGGUCACGGCCGCCAUGACUGAGCGAAAUUUGAAUCUGGUCACGCCGCUGGCUCAUGAGGCCAACGCCAUGCGCGAUACAGAAACCAGCCGCCGGUGUGCGGAAAGGUCUGGCGCAGUUUCCCAACUGAGCAAUCGGUGGGGCGACGUAGAAAGCGUGAUAGGUAC